UACGAAGGGGGCUAGCGUUGUUCGGGUUUACUGGGCGUAAAGCGCGUGUAGGCGGAUCGUUAAGUCGGGGGUGAAAGCCCAGAGCUCAACUCUGGAAUUGCCUUCGAUACUGGCGGUCUGGAGCAGAGAAGAGGCGGGUGGAAUUCCGAGUGUAGAGGUGAAAUUCGUAGAUAAUCGGAGGAACACCAGUGGCGAAGGGGACUCGCUGGUCUCUUGCUGACGCUGAGACGCGAAAGCGUGGGGAGCAAACAGG
rnacentral:rRNA from 1 species